CCUACGGGUGGCAGCAGUGGGGAAUAUUGGGCAAUGGGCGCAAGCCUGACCCAGUAACGCCGCGUGAAGGAAGAAGGCUCUCGGGUUGUAAACUUCUUUUAUCAGGGACGAAGCAAGUGACGGUACCUGAUGAAUAAGCCACGGCUAACUACGUGCCAGCAGCCGCGGUAAUACGUAGGUGGCAAGCGUUAUCCGGAUUUACUGGGUGUAAAGGGCGUGUAGGCGGGAAAGCAAGUCAGAUGUGAAAACCAUGGGCUCAACCUGUGGCCUGCAUUUGAAACUGUUUUUCUUGAGUACUGGAGAGGCAGACGGAAUUCCUAGUGUAGCGGUGAAAUGCGUAGAUAUUAGGAGGAACACCGAUGGCGAAGGCAGCCUCCUGGGACAUAACUGACGCUCAGGCACGAAAGCGUGGGGAGCAAACAGGAUUAGAUACCCGAGUAGUC
rnacentral:rRNA from 1 species